ACGUGACCUAUUGCGGGAAGCAUAAAAUCCAGUAGUGGGCUGCUUCCAGGAAGAGCGAGAGGGACGUUGCUGCAGGAGCCAACUACUGAAGCCAUUUAUCUGCGGAAUUGGCCAUGUUGGAUGGCGAGCUAGAGUCUGAAGCUUUAUGCCUGGAACCGAACCAACCGAACUGAAUCCACCCAACCGAGCCGGGCGGACGAUCCUGCAGGCAAGCAAGAAUCAGCACGGCCUGAACUGAACUGCACCGAGGUCAGCCUCGCGCUCGUCUGUGCCGGAAUUAUGGGCUGGCCUUACGCCGGCGGCACACAGAUUUAGCUCUGACCCUGAACACCGCCUUCCCCAGAGACAACGUCGAUCUACGAAACCCAAAACCAGUGAAGUUGGCACCUUGUGUAAAUGGUAAAUAAAAACAAAAUACAAGGAUUUGCUCAGCCGGUCGGAAGCCCGGCUUGCGUCUGGCGAUGGAGGUAUGUAAAGAGGCGGAGCCGGCGAACGAGCAGCGGGGCAGGGCACGCUGGAGCCCUGCCCAAGAUGGCGGCAAGGAGCCGGAGAAUGCGGCUGAGUGCAGAGGCGGGGCGUGGCGGGAGCGACGCUACGAACUGGAUCAGGUGCGUGGCUCGCACACCGGCACACAAUCAACUUACUUCCUCUGGCUGUAUAGAAGGGCAGCAGCGGAGGCAGAAGGAGUAGCAGAACCUGACCACCGAGAGCGACAGAGAGCGAGCCGAAGACAGCGACGACGCGGCCGGCUGAAAGCAAGCGAGGAGCGAGCAGGAGACAAGGAGCGGAAAAGCGACACGACCGCAGAC